AUGUACAUCCAGUCUGAACUCAAGGUGGUGUUACUGCCAAGCACGCGUCUCUUUCAGCAGGUCCCAGGUCUGUUUAUACCAGAGCACUGUUCCAGCUCAGUGAACCUAAGCACAACCUUCUGUUUCUCUGUGACAUCGUCAGUGACAGAAGGAGCAACUUCUAAGAAUGCAAGAAGGAUUUACCACUGCUGUGCAGGUGCAAGCUCCGCUCUGCUUCCAAACAAAAUAUUUCCUAAAACAACAUUCAGGAAAAGCGAUCUCAGAGAAGCAGCAAGAGAAGAAAUCUAUGAGCUCAAUGGUUUCAAAUUUGACUUAGAACUACUUCAGGACCUGACAGCCAUCAAGAAGUUAAACGUUAUUGUUAAUCCUGAAAGGAACAACAAUGACUUUCAGCAGUUGAGACUAAGACUGGUAACUUCCAUGUCACUGCAAAGCUUCUUGGAAUAA
rnacentral:lncRNA from 1 species